CAAUUAUGAGGCUAAUGUUGGACAUUUUCAGCAUCAAUAUAAUGUUCACUAUAGAAGGCGUACACUUUCAUGUCGCCGACCGUGACCUUAAAAAAUUUUACUUAAAAACAUCACAAUUUAUCGCGGUUUUUGAAAGCAAUAUAAGGGCAACGCUGGCUUUUUUUAAGGCACCGACUACUUCGACAAAUAUGGGAUUACACUGAGGUUUAGCAUGUAUGUCUGGGUCAUGUUUUGGUUUGAAAAAUCUGAUUAUUUUAAAGAGGCCAGAGGGAAUAGCCCUGUCUCUGUUAAGCCCGUCAGGGGUACGGCAGGACAACAACAACCAAUUAAACUAGCCCGCCUAUAUUCCUCCCAAAUGCUUGACGCACAGACAGUAGUGUCAAUCAUCGGCACAAUAAGAAACGUAUGCGAAAAUCAUCACACCAAUUCACUUUGGAACGAGAAAUUUUGAGGCAGUCUGUGAUACGAGUUAUAUGGAUCGUCUAGAACAAUCCCAAUGAGAUGCGAAGUGUGUAAUUAUGAAAACAUCAAGGCAGACCACAAACAAGCGAACGGCGACAUCAAAGGCCUCCAUCAAUUUCGCCACUUGGGCAAUUAACGCGUAUUUCAUGUAUUAACGACUAAGGAAUAUUGAUUAAUAUAUCGUGUCGAUGUCUGGCUUGGAUCGUUUUGAAUAUCUGAGGCGAGUUUAGAGCGAAAUGGUUUAUAAGUUAACGACGGUGAAAGAGCGCUUGUCGUUGGCCGCGUUCAAAUGCCGAUUUCCCUUCGUUACUGUGAUUGUAGCUCGCGCCAAGUGCCGUUGUUAGCCACAUAAGAACGCUGGCGCCAUCAAUUCGCUUCCAGCUAAGAUGCUCGGAUUGUGCGAAUUUAAUAAUCGCCACUCACACAAAAACCUUUGGAAAUUGAACAAAAGUGCCGGCGUUUCGGGCCUUUUAAGCUUAAUGGCGAUAAUAUAAGCCAAUGGCUUCACAAACAAUCGUUGAACAAAUCAGGAACACGGCUUCCGAAACGAGGCGGUCCAAAAUCUGACAUUUUCCUUUUAAAUCGACAAGUGAACGCAAGCAAGCACUCGAAAGGCUAUUUCAUAGUCAUGCAACGAUUUUCUUUAUGCUAAUUUCGAUCACUCCACGGGCUGAAUUUGUCAAUUUUAUAUCGAGUUAUACGGAGUAUAAGCUGGCUUUGCUAAAAUCCAUUUCCAAGUCAGUAACUUCAUGUAAAGCUAUUAUAUAGGACAGAACGAACAGACUCAGAAUGGAAGUUCUGAAACUAGAGAUUUGAGGCAUAUAUAAUAUGAGAGAAAAUUCUGUUCUAAUUCUGUUUCAUCCGACGCAAUUAUUUAUACUAUAGUCUAUAUCAAAUCAAAAAAUGUGUGAAGACUGCUUGCUU